AGGAUGAACGCUGGCGGCGUGCCUAACACAUGCAAGUCGAACGUCCUGUCUCGCAAGAGGCAGGGAGUGGCGGACGGGUGAGUACCACGUGGGUCAUCUACCGUGAGGUGAGGAAUACCGGCGAGAAAUCGCCGACAAGACCGCAUAGGCUCGAUGCAAGUCGAGCAAAGCUCUUUCGAGAGAGGGAGCGCCACACGAGGAGCCUGCGCCCGAUUAGCUAGCUGGUGGAGUAACGGUUCACCAGGGCGACGAUCGGUAGCUGGUCUGAGAGGACGAUCAGCCACACUGGGAUUGAGAACGGCCCAGACUCCUACGGGGGGCAGCAGUGAGGAAUUUUCGUCAAUGGGGGCAACCCUGAACGAGCAACGCCGCGUGCAGGAAGAGGUUUCGGAUCGUAAACUGCUUUUCUCGGGGAAGAGAACGGACGGUACCCGAGGAAUCAGCCCCGGCUAACUACGUGCCAGCAGCCGC
rnacentral:rRNA from 1 species